rnacentral:snRNA from 1 species
GUGCUCGCUUCAGCAGCACAUAUACUAAAAUUGGAACGAUAUAGAGAAGAUUAGCAUGGCCCCUGCGCAAGGAUGAUACGCAAAUUCAUGAUCCAUAUUUUU